UGCGAGCAAGGCAUUGCAAUACAUUUUGAGCCAGGAAAAUUUUUUUCAAUACGUGAUUAUUAAAGACUCUCUUGAAACUGAUCUUUUCCUAAAUUCACGGUACUGCUUCAAUCCAGAACGACGACGGAAAUGGAUACUAAGUACCGUUUAGACUUUUGUGUGACUCCCUAUAAAAGAUUAUGUGGGCAGCGAUCGUGCGGAGGAAAUUCGCUGUGGUCUCCGAUCUGUGCGGAGUUCGCCGUUCUCAUGGCUUAUGUUGGUGCAAAAGGAGAGACUCGCCAACAAAUGGGGGAUUUACUGGGAUUCAGCAAAGCCUACACUGUAGACGAUUUCUGCGCGUUGCUAAUCGAGAUGAAAAGGAAUGCGGAUCAAAACUAAGCGGUCCCAAAUGCUCCUGUUCCAAACUACAGGCUGUUCCUAGCCACAGCAGGAUUUAUUGAAGAAGACUGUCCUCUCAACGCCGACUACACCGACACUCUCCGCACUUUAUUUAACACCGUAUGCCAACCUGUUCGCUUCCGCACCGCACCCUCUGAAGCUGUUCAACGCAUCAAUGAAUUUGUGGAGAAUCACACAUCCGGAAAUAUUCGCGAUACACUGGCUCUUUCCGACAUAGACAAAGAUACCGCAUUCAUACUGAUUAGUUCGGUGUACUUUGAAGCGGAAUGAGAUCAUCGAUUUUUUGAGGAGCACACGGUGAAGAAACCUUUCACCCUGACCGAUGGCGGCCAGGUGAUGGUGGAUACCAUGCAUGUGUUGACGCGGUGUGGGUAUUACGAGAGUAAGGAACUGGGAGAAGCGCGCUUUCUGCAGUUGUGGUACGGUGACGAACUCUCCAGCGCGUGUUUCAUUCUCCCGGGGAAGAAUGUCGGCUCAGCUACGUGGACACCUGGUUCAGCGUUGUCGGACCUGCAGAGAGCCCUGACGCCCGCUUUGGUUCAAAAGGCGCUGGAUUCUCUCCAGCCAAUUUCUUACGGAACGAUACAGGUACCGAAGUUUUCCAUUGAACACAACAUCGAUUUGGAUAGCACGCUGCGGGAUCUGGGUAUGCGGUCAGCUUUUUCGGAAAGCGCCGAUUUCUCCGGGAUAUCGACGCGUUCCCUCUGCAUUGACAAGAUUAAGCAGAAGGUGUAUAUCGAAGUAGUCAAUUCGCUUCUCACUUGCAUAUUGCAGGUCUGUACGAAUGUUUUUUGGUGUAAUGUAGUCCGUUGAGGCCGUCCUCUGCUGAUCUACGCUUCGCACGUUCGCAGGUUUUUCAUUACCAUGCAUUUUUACCGCAAGCUUGAUACCACCGUGAACGUCCUGUGCAGCGAUCAGCGGAUGCGCUACGGACGCGUAGUGGACAUUGCAGAAGAUGGCCUCUUCGUUGAUCUGUUCUCUCCGAAUGGGCGACGUGAAUUUUGCGCCGUUCGGCCGCGUCUUUUUUGCUUGUCCUACGACCUUUCUCAAUUUUGGGUAUGCCGAUCAACGGUCAGCCAUCCCGAGUCAGGUUCUGAUGCCGGAGACGCCAGCCGGUCCAUGAGUUUGGCUUCCCGGUGAAAUCUACUGGGUAGGAAAGCUGAGGCCAUUGUGCAGCGCGGCCGUUGUUCACUGGCACCUUCCGGACACUCGUGAACAGCACACUGACAUUAUCCCCAUACAUCGACUUUGUCAAGCUCAAGAUGUCGACAAUAACGUCUUACACGACGAAAAAAUCCCUACAGGCAGCUUUAUCAAGCGCAAUGUGGACUUGGGCGGAGAAGUUCGUUCGUUAUCCACCGUAGAAGUGCAGGCGCUCAUCAAGCGACUCAAUGGCCGCCUGUCUCUCUUCACACCCGUUUUCGUGGUGGAUAUGGUGGACGGCAAAUUAGAAUACAUUCACCAAAUUGCCGAUGAACGCGUUCGCCCGUGGGUCAGUGACGAGUUCAUUGCGAAAGUACGCACCUUGGUCACACAUUCUCAGGAUGAAGCAAGUAUGCCCAAUUAUGAAGGCUAGGCGCAGAAGGCGCUACCGACGGAAUUGUGGCAAGAGGUCUUUUCAAACUUGAUCACUGUGGCGCAGACGAAGCUGCGCGCCGUGUGCACCACGUGGAACCGGAUCUUGGAUGCGCCAGCAUUCCACAAUAGUAAUCUGCAACAAAAAGAACAGCAGCAACGUCAUAUGGGAAUCGGAUAAUUUUCUCUGCAUGGCGAUCAUCAUCGGAUCAUUUUCUCUGCAUGAUCCGUUAUGUGGCUGCCCAACAAACCGGAAUCCAACUGCGUACCCUGCAUCUGCGCGGCGUCGGCAUUGGGAAUCUGAUCAGCCGCUGGCUCGCUCGCACUGACAAAGGCUCAAUUGGCGUAAACUGGUUUUUUCCUGAGCCAUCGCCGGACUCGCAGCCCGAUGACAGGGAUCUGGAGUUCAUUGCCGCAUGCCGCAAUCUACCGUGCCGUGCCAUACAUAUGACGAACUGUGAAGUGAAUUUAGGGAAUACGUGGGGUCUUAGAGGGAACCUCGAUUUCAAACCGCGGUCUUGAUAAACAUCGGCACCGCGCAACUGCCGGUUGGCGAUAAAUUCGACUGCGCAUUUUGGGAUGCACUGGAGACGGCACUUUCGGAACUACCGAGUGACCAGCAGCGCUUGAAUAUCUCUGGAGUCGAGGACCCCGCAGUGACGAAUGCCGUCUGCAAGUUAGUAGUUACUUUGUGCGGCGCAGUCGGCUGAUCCGCGUCCGUCGUCGCAUUACCACGGGAAGAAGUGGAGUAUGGAUGCCGGCGGGCUGGAAGAUCUGCAGUGGGAGAAGCUGUCGCGCAUUACUCGGCAUCUGCUCGUUAAAUUGCAUAAGUGGACGAGUGCGACGGAUAGUGGAUUUUGUUUCGGGCCUGAAAAUUUCGAAUCCCUGUAGUUGCUACUGGACAUUGCCCUCAGUUACGUUAAGCCGUAGUCAGAGUCUGAGCGCUGUUUUCUCGAGAUCAGUUAGUUCACUGAAUAGUUUUUACUGGAUUCACUUGAAUAUUUUUCACUGGUAGGUGUCGUUUGAUCUGAUAUUUUACCGACUUUUUAAUGCAUACUUUAUUAUAAUUUAACUGUAGUAGAAUUUGCGUGCGAGCGUAUCACGUACGCUGCAGCGAAGUA